UAAUCUAACUAUUUUUGUUUUCUUAUUUAGGAUGAAACUAAAGAAAAGGUGUCUCAUGGACAUCUCACCAUGUGACCAGAGAGAAGAUUAUGAUGCAGAUUCAAGUGGUGGAUCAAACAUGCUUUUGCCACCAAGGAGCAGUUCUGGUGACAACAGUUCCCUGUUCAGGGCACUACCAGCUCUCUUCCCAUCAUGAGCUGCACCACGCAAGAAGAUGGGACAUGCCAGUGAAGCACUGAUUCAUGUCCUUCAGAAGAUCCAGCGUCAGCCCUGUUCUGCUCUUUGAAGGGUCCCCCUGUCUUAUUGCAGUUGGAACCACUCCCAUCACCACAUUUGCCACAGAUGACCUUGGAGAAGGUUUGCUGUGUCUUAUGGCAUACUACUACACCCUGCAUCUUACCUAUCCUAAAUGUGUGGCAACGCUUCUGUCUGUCAUUCAGACUGAAGUGUUAAAGGACAAAAUCCAUGAGCAAGACACCACAGGCUCAUACAAAACAGUCAUGGCAGGCUGUAGGAAUUUUUAUUGAAACGUAGAGCUGUUUGAGCAAGAUGUAACUUAGGUCUGUGUUGGAAGGUUUGGACCUGAUAGCUUUGAAGUUGCAAUUUACACUUGAAUUCUUUUUUUUUAUUCUUAUUAAUGUAAUACAAAGUACUUUUUUCUUUAAACACAUCUGUUCUG